CGCUUUAUUUUUCUCAGACCCUCGCUAUUUUUGCGCUUUGCGCCUAGGCCCCAGGCGGGGCCUAUGCGCCUUGAGUGCGUCUAGUGACUUUAAUAACUAUGCUUUAAAUGACUUGGUCCACUGAUCGAUCCAAUUGACUUGUAUUUUUUUAGUUAAAACCAACAAAAUUCCAAAGAAAUAACCUUUUGUAAAUGAGCAUCAAACUCCGCAAAAUCCCCACCUCUUUUUAGCCGGGCGUCAUGAACAACUGUGGCUUUGAGGAUACCAAUAGACAAAUACACACACACAUACAAGACAGUUUUUGUGUGUUGCAUGUACAUUUUGGUGAUU